UACGUAGGGUGCAAGCGUUGUCCGGAAUUAUUGGGCGUAAAGAGCUCGUAGGCGGUCUGUUGCGUCGGCUGUGAAAACCCGAGGCUCAACCUCGGGCCUGCAGCCGAUACGGGCAGACUAGAGUUCGGCAGGGGAGACUGGAAUUUCUGGUGUAGCGGUGAAAUGCGCAGAUAUCAGGAGGAACACCGGUGGCGAAGGCGGGUCUCUGGGCCGAUACUGACGCUGAGGAGCGAAAGCGUGGGGAGCGAACAGG
rnacentral:rRNA from 1 species